UACUUCGGAAUUUAUGGAGAAACAAAUACAAAAUUACUAAAAAAGAAAUUUCCAAAAUAACAAAAACGCAUUUGACAAAAAACAUAUUUUACAUUUCGAUUUUUCUCAAAAUUCCAAAAAAAAAAACGUUUUCUUGCAAAAUAAUAUCCAGUUUACUGCAAAACUCCGCUAAAUCCACAAUGUCCACAUAUUUUAAUUAUCCUUCGCGCAGCUUAAUUGAUGAACUACGGCAUAUAGCAGCGGAACUUAUGAAACCGGGACAUGGCAUAGUCGUCACGGAUGAAUCGCCAUCACAAUUGGAGCGUUUAAUGGAAAUGUUUGGCAUAAAUUCUUCGAAAGAGAUGCGCAUCCAGUACCGCAGUCUAUUAUUCUCAGUUAAGCAAUCACUAGACGAAUACGUCUCUGGCGUUGCCGUGCACCCGGAGGUAUUGGAUCAAACCACACCUAACGGUUGUGCGUUACACUGUCAGUUGCGGCGCAAAAAUGUAUUGGUUGGAGUCACCGUCGAUAAGGGGCUUGUGCCAUUGUUAACUACCUACGGAGAGUACACCACGCAAGGACUGGACGGUUUGGCCGGACGGUGCGCCGAAUAUAAGGAUUGCGGUUGCGAUUUCACCAUGUGGCGCGCACAGUUCAACAUAGGCGAAUAUUCACCUUCCUACCAGGCUAUGAUGGAUAAUGCCAAUAAUCUGGCCAAAUUUGCGGCCAUCUCACAAUCGAAACGUAUGCUGCCGAUCUUAGAGGUAGAUGUAGUGCCAUCGGAUGACAAUGAUAUGGAACGUGCUGAAAAAGUCGCCGAGACAAUUUUAAUAUUCAUUUUUAAAUCACUUUGUGAACAUCAUGUCAACCUGGAAGGUACUUUACUAAAAUUCCCAGCUUUAAACGCGGGUUCGAAGUGCACGAAACGUUAUUCGCCGGGUCAGAUCUCAAAAACAACGCUGCGCUUACUGAGACAUGUCGUGCCGGCUUCAGUCGGUGGUAUCAUUCUGCAUGUGGAUGGCAAGACGGAAGAUAAGAGUCUUUGCCUGCUAAACGCCGCAGUCAUCGAUCCAUCGCCCAAACCGUGGCCCAUAAUAUUCAGCUUCGAUGGCAUAUUACAGUCUUCGAUUAUGAUGGCUUGGGCGGGUCAUUGCAAAAAUAUGCAGAAGGGUCAACAAGAGUUUCUCAAAAUGCUGGAUGCCUUUUCCAAAGCUGCUCAGGGCGCAUAUGUACCCGGUACGAUGAAAUCGCUAGCCGAUCAGUGUUACUGUAAACGGGCUUUUAAAGCUUUGAAGACGAAACCUGAUCCACUACCCGAUGAUUGUGUUCGAUAUGACGAAAUAUGUCGACCACCGAUUGUUAUGCCCAUUGCGCCCGCACCAGUUGCAACUGUCGAGUCCGCUGUAGUUGUCGCGAUCACCGCAAUUAAAACAGAAGAUACGAUAUUGGCCGUAGGCGCUGCAACUGAGUUAGUCGAAGGCGAUCCAACAGUUAAAGUAGAGGAAGCGAAAUCGACCACGGAAGCUGCACCAGAGGACGCUCCAACAGAGCAAACAGAGAAUCCACCAGCAGAUAGUCAGUAGAAGCUGGAGAAAAAGGCGAUUUCCGACCAGUUACCGGUGGUUGGAAGUUGGAGCAUAACGUGGAAGUAAAAAGGAUGCCGAAAUAAAACCGUUAUUUUCAAUAUUGAAACAAAGAAAUUUCAGUUUCUAGUUCAUAAUCUUAAGGUCUGCAAAUAUGGAACAAAGUUUUUGAAAGCAAAGAUCCAGCAAUUUUAUCAACUCUAAAGAAAAAAGAAGUAUGCUUAAAAUCGGAGCUGUAUAAAACAUAAACUAAGCAUUUUGAUUUUCUUGGAAGCAUUUAUUUAAGCCAUUCAAUAUAGUUUAUAACCAUAAUAACAGCUGGUAGGAUCAGAACUCCUUUUACAAUUUGGAUCCCACAUGAAUAGCAAAAACGCCAUCGUUCUCAUUUUGACGAAUUGAAAUGUUGGCGCGACCAUCGGAACCCACCACAACCGAUUUUCCUGUACAAGUUGAACCCGACUUUUCGCCGGAGAUGAUGUCACAGUAAGUGCCCGCCGGCAGACAGGUCUGCAAGGAGGUGUUUAAAUCGUAAUUAUCAUUGUUGAAUGCUACGAAGCCCUUAUUGUCACGACAGAAGGCGAUCUGGUUACUGCCAUUGUCCCACCAGUUCUGUACAUUAGUGUUGGAGACGAUGUUUCUGAAGCCAACCAUGUUGUAAAUUUGACGCCAACGAUGUUCACAUACCCAACCACCACUACAGGAAUUAUCAGCAUUGAAUAUAGGACUGGCAAUGUUGUUACCGUCGCUUGUUGGUGGACCUUGAUCGGUAUUGUCGAAUGCAAACGAAGACAUGACACGUGGAAUACCAAACGGAUAAGCCAACAUAAAGGCAUUAGCCAUUUUAUAUUGUUUCGCAUUUUUGUAGAAAUUGGUGCGCUAAAACAACUCGAAGAGCUCAACAUAUCCAAGAAUCAUCUUCAACGACUGCCAAUACAGCUAAGCGAAUGUCAGCGCCUAAACGUGCUAAACCUCAGUGACAAUGUCAACAUCUGGCAUAUACCCGAGCGAAUCUCCAACCUGCCAUCACUACAAUCGCUGUCAGCGGAUCGUUGCGCACUUUUUUACCUGCCAGUGGCACUUUCUAAGUUCGUAAAUCACGUCCGCAUAUUUCACAACACAUCCAUUACUCAUGUGCCCAUGAUCUAUGAGAAGCCCUUCCAAACUUUCUAUGAUAAUCGCGCAAAAGUAACACCCCCUGCUGUGACACACGACAGUUUCUUUUGGGUGCUGGAAAAGGAGACCAAUACUAGACUACUACUGCCCUUCGGCACACGUCGCAUCUUUUGUGUGCCCUCGCUAGACAAUCAAGUCACACUUUACGACGACUGUCUCAGGGCAGUGCAGUACCUGAGUCGCUACAUGCCAUUAUGGGAGAAUGUGGCGCUCAAGCAAAUGCUACCGGAGAAGUUUAUCUACAAUCAUAUCGUGAAUGGACCGACCGCCCGUUGUACGGUGCUGAAUUGUUCCAAUCCCUUGUACACCACGUACUAUUUCAUGGCUGUGAAGCGGCGUGGCAGCUCGUCGAAACAAAUUUUCACCUGUUACUUUUGUUCGAAUCACUGUGCGAAUUUGUGGCUGUUGGCGAAUGGCAAGAAAUACUAUCAGCUGGAGUGGGAGGUGUGUGAGGAUUAAUGU
rnacentral:misc_RNA from 1 species